rnacentral:rRNA from 1 species
GUCUAUGGCCUUACCACCGUGAAUGAGCCCGAUCUUAUCUGAUCUCAGAAGCUAAGCAGGGUUGGGCCUGGUUAGUACUUGGAUGGGAGAUCUACACAUAUCAUAUUUC